CGGAUCAAUACGAACAAGGGUAGCUGCCGCCGCGAAGCUUCUCUACGCCUUAUAGUUCCCGCAUGUUCGUUUCCAGCACCCAAAGAGGGAGUUGCAGUUUACUUAGGCUGCUUGGCACGUGCAAAAGAGUCGGCAGCAAAUUUUUCGUGACCAGGAAUACAUGGGGUGGAUAUUUCAGCAUUUUUCCGUGGUGCAUAUAGGUAUACGGAAAUUCAAAGCUACCUGCAGCAUUAACAACUAUAAAAUUGAGCUGUCAGCUGGCGAAGCUGGUGACGGAAGUCCAAGUGGAAAACCGAUCGUCAACGUCCCGUCAUUCGUCAAGAAACGGGCGUCGGAAACAUUCGUUGGACCAGGACACCAUGACUUUCCUGUAUGCCAUCCGUCCUUUUCCCCGCUAUGAAAGCCUGGCGAAUAAGCUUUAAAGCGUCACCACUUUCAUUGACUCAGGAAAACAGGAUACUCGUACAAAACAGGCGGGAAAACAUAGUUAAAAGAGAAAUAUCGAACAUGGUUGUAAUUAAAUAUUGAAAUGGUGAGGAAAAAUAUGUUAUUCAUAUAUACCGUAGAUAACAAUCAUCGAUUACUUUUCUUUCGUCCAUCGGUCCAUCUGGGUGCUUGCGGACCAUCUCUUUGCGACGUAGACGUCAUUAAAAAUUCAUCGUAACAUUUUAUUAAACGGUUCAUUUUUUUUUUUUUUUACACGAUCAAAUCCAUACAUCAUGGAACAAUCGUAAGCGGUGAGACUGAGAUAUUUGCUCUUCAAAGUAUAACGAACGUAGCGGGUUUCAUCAUGCGUGGAUAACUUGGUAGACGAAAAGAUACAAAUAGACGAAAAAUAAGGAAACAACUAUCGAUUGCUUGAGUUAAACGGACAUCAAAACGAAACGAAGAUUUUACUACCAGGAUCCAAGGACCGUAGCGAAGGACAUGCGUUAGAUGGCCGGUUGUGUUGUAGCUGGCACAGGCGUGGUGAAUGAAACUCCGCAAUGCAGGUGACCACCACGUAUAUACUUACACCCUUAAGCCACGUUGUCGAGAAUGGAACGCUACUUUAUCAGGACUCGAGAAGUCCGACCGACCUUUCAUAUCCUCCCGUUUUUGAAUUAAAUAUGAGGGCUCAUUCUUGAGUUGGGCGUUGCCUCGCAACCUAGCGCGCUCAGGGGGCGCAUCAAAACAAACUGUACGUUAAAGUAACAGGGAUCAAGAACUACAAUGAAGGAUGGAACUGCAGGGAAUGAAUGUAGCGGAGUUCGAUCGAGCCUAGGUGAACAAUGCUGGUCGCCAGGACGCCAACCAGAUCGUAGACUGAACUACCAGGACUUGAGGAACAGGGUAGUUCGCCUGUGCGGCAGGAUGGCUUUGCCCGGGUCAACCGACGCGACCACAUCUACGAGAAAGGAUCGUCAAGACGAGUAUCGUGCCCUGUUUAACAGGACGCGAGAAACCCUUCGAAGGAUCUCCCCGGCAAGAACAACUGCCUUCCACUUCACCUUCACCCAGGACCGUACAAGUAUGUGCUACGAGCGUUUGGAAGGACGCGGAGUCAAGUAACAUACUUAGUUAUCAGGGACCAAGAAACGCCGAGAAAUUCGCACAGGAUUUUAGGGUCCUUGCAAAGUGGGGCCACCAGCUACUAUUUUCAGGGGAUCUUUACCAAUAGCUACGCCUUGGGCUUUCCGAACGAACCCCAAAGGGUAGAUUGUUAUUGAAGAACAGGAUGUGAGAAGUUGAAAGGAUACACGUUUCAUUUGCUCAAACUGACCUAUGGAAUAACUACUAACAUUACCAGGUUCGACCAAGCGAGUCCUUGCUGUCUGUUCAGCUGCCAACUAGAUGAGUGCGAAGGCGAGAAGCAUCCCCGAUUACCAGGACUCGAGGAAUGCUUCGAGGAAUUCUAUGGAUUUUUCUUAGCGCGAACCGGGUUUCAGCUUUUCAUAUUAUCGACUAGAGUGAAACGGUAGGAAAAUGAGAAGCACGCUAAAAUAUCAGGAUCUAAGAAAUGCUACGAAAGAUAGAAGCACCGAAUGUGAACAAGUCAAUGAUCUACCCAAGUGUUGCAAAUACUCGUAUAAUUCCGACAACGAACAUUCCGACCUACCAAAAUACCAAAACAAACUUCAUCCGUUUUUCGAAAAUGUAGACAGCGUUCGAAUGGAAAAUGAAUUUCUUAUAUUAUAUAGCAAAAAAAUUUUUAAAAUGUUUCUCACAUCAAAUGUACAAACAACUUGGAGUCAAUAUCGAACUCAACGUCUCGAAAACCGAUGUAAUGUUACAAUACAGGAUAGUCCAUUUCCGUACCAAUUUCUUUGGUGUUGAUUACAGAUUACAUUCCUAUAAAGUUAAUAAAGUUUUUCAGUUCCUUUAUCAAUAAUUAUUAAUCAAUUAUAACAAAUCCGUGCUGGUCUGAAAUAUCGAACAGCUGUUUCCAUUGACCGGCAUUUUUCUCUGUCAUAUUCAAAGCAAGAUAAAGAUUUAGAUAAUUAUUUCCCGUGCCCGAGAGUAAAGUCUCGAAUGCUUUCGAGUUUUGUCUCAAGAAAUCCGGUGAGUAAAACUUGGGAAUCGCCACCUCUAUUGUAGCCACUUGAAAUCGUGGUAUAUGCCAUGUGUGACGGUGAAAAUAAUCGACGACUUAGCACCAGUAUUAUUAUUAUAGGUAUAAAAAUAAGAAAUCUUAAAACCAGCGAAUGCCAUCUGAUAACAGGUUUCCAUGAAGAUGAAGCAACACCAAUGAAAGGAGGCUCCAUUGAACUGCUAAGAUCCUGGCAGAUUUUCAAAAAAACUCCACGUGUUGCUUCUCUGCUGUACACACAUAUCAUUUACAAUACGGAUCGAUUACGGUCAAAUGUCUGCAUAAAUUGCAUAUUGCGGAAACGGCGUGUACAGUACACCGCAGCUGGAUACAGCACACAUUACGGUCAUGCUGUCCUCGCACCAAUCUUCAUUCCAACUUCUUCAGUCAUACAGAAACCUCGGAAAAGACCUCCACCGGAGUCUAUAUCCCUGAACCCGAACUUCCUGUUUCCUCGUGGUUCUUUAACCAACAGUAUCGCUGUGAGCCAGGAAAUGUCGCACCGGAAACAGGAAGGAGAUACAUACAUACAGUACGAACAUCCUCUUUCAUUCUGCUUUCCUAGCACAAGUAUCUGUGACCGCACGUGGCUGGUUCCUCAUAUUUCGAAUUACAAAUUACAGCUCAUUAUUCCCCUGUCCAUAAAAAAAGUUGGCGACCGUGAUGAAUUGAAAUACCGUAUCCAUUUAUCUGUGCACGUGUAUAUCGUGAGGGUAAGCUGUGAAAACAGCUAAAGCUAAGCUCAAUUAAACACACAAUUAACUCGUGAUUUUCUCACAUGAAAAUGUAAAUAUCUCGAAGAAGAAGAUAACGAUGUGUGUUUCAGAUCAUGCCAUAACCGCGGAGAUUCGAAGUACAUCUGCAUCAAGUCCUUCAAACAAGGGGCAUAUUUCCAGAUCAGGGUUGCAUGGCGGGUACGAACGCUGGUUACGUGUAUAUUCUGGGAGGGACGAAGUAAAGCCAGAUCGAUUCCCCUGAAUCCUGGCAGUAGAAACAAAUCCUCACAGCUUCUUGUUGCUGUUGUAAAAUAAUUCCAGGAGGAAAAUGAGCUCCCACGCAACACUUCUGCUAACUCCGUUAAUUGCCUCAAACGCGAAGCAUAUUUCCGCACCAAGAUUUCAUAACGCGCGGCUGGUGGACGAGGACGAGUUCGGUGCACGAAGCCUCUUGAAAAUGAUGCCAUCCUGGGGCUGGUGCCCUCCGGGUAGCGUGCGCGUCGCAUCGUUACCUUUCCAUAAAUUUUUCCAAGCUUCGGGUCGCCUUUUGUAUCAGGAUGCCAUGUUAGUAAUUUCGACAUCGAAAGCGCUCAGACCUUCGACUAGAAUUGGACACAAGAUACUUGAAUUAACAAGAAGUUACCUGCAAGCUCAAAAAUAUAUUCGUAAUUAUGCUUAUUGUGUUUGAAAUUCGUGAUUUAAA